rnacentral:lncRNA from 1 species
AUCAAGACUAAAAUAUGCAUUAGGAAAAAAAAAAAAUUCUCCUGUCAACAGUGAGGGGGUGUAGGUCACUGGUUAAGGAUGCUGGCUCGUAAGAACUGAGUUCGGGUUCACAGUGUACGCCCGGCAUCCUUACCUUGCUCCGACCUGAUGAUGUUUGUCCUGAGACACAGAGGCAUGAUAAUGAAAAAGACACAGCUGGAAUCAGAAGACAAGCAGACAAAACAUGAAAUCCUCUGGACACCCAGGAAGAGUGUUCUCCUGCAGCCCCAGCAAAAAUGGUGUUUAGGGACACUGGCACAUCCCAUACAGAGACAAAGACCUUAGCUGGCACGGGAUUCCACAAACACAGGGGUUGUUCUUGCUGAAUGUCGCCCAUUUAAUACCAAAAGGAAUGCAAUUCAAAACCCUGCUCCUAGCCCUGUGUGUGCCAAAGGGUUAAGCACCAUACUCUACUGUGCACACAUGCGUGUGCAUGUGCGCGUGCACUCUCCCCCCACACACACACUCUAGUUUGGAGACAUGACAUGGACACACACAGGAAAGAAUCCAGAGGAGGCAGAAUCAGUUCUGGAUUGGGAGGUGGUAAUGACAGUGAUAAGGAGGAGGAGAAGGAAGGCACCAUCAUUUACUGAGGCGUCAGAAGGUAUUCCCGGCCCUUGACAUAGACCCAUACAGCAAUCUGCAAUGUGGAUAGACCCAUUGUAUAGAUGGGAAAACUGAACUCCAA